UUUUUUCUUUCCUUUUUCAUCCGACUUUUCUCCUCCAUCUCUUUAUCCAUAACCAGACCAUUAGGAGCCCUCUGUUUCCUUUCGCAUCGGCCGGAUUGUAAGCGUGGAGACUGUGCGUUUUGAAGGAGAUGGUGAAGAGGCGACUCAGAGAGAAAACUGCAGGGUUUUAGAGAGCCCUAGGAGCAGAAGCAGAAGCAACAGGUAGGCAACAGCGAAGUAGGAAAGCAUGAGGCUCAUUCUAUAAUCUUCUCCUCUCCAUUUUCAAAUUCUUAAGCUUUUCCUCAAACAUUUUCUUACUCGUUUCGCUAAUAAUGAAAUUGUUUUUUUUUUAAAUAAAUAAUAUAUUUUAGAUUGUUAUAAUUCAGGGUAGCGUCAUUCAGUGCUGCGAGAGGUGGAACGGCGAUACUUCAGUGCGGUUUCAACAGAGGAAUACGCAAGGAGGAACUACGCAAGCAAUGUCUCUGAGUAUAACACUGUUAUCGGUUCUCUCACCGCGCAGAGAAGGCAUUUCUUGCUGAAAGAUGUGUAUGAUGAUAUGAUGCUGGAUGGAGUACCCCAGAUGAUGUUCUAUCUGCUUUAAGAUGACAUUCUUCAAUUUCUCAACAUCGAAAAUCUCUGGAUUCUAAUUUUCCAAGGAAGAACAGAGGAUCAAGAUGGAAUAAGGAAGAUUUUAGUCAUUCUAAUGCUUUGGACCAUAAAGAUAGUGGUGCGAAAGGUGUUCAAGACUUGUGGAACAAAAAAUCAAGGUCUACAGGUCCACCAGAACAGAAGGUUAAUGCUAGUGAUGAUCGGUCAUCAUCAACAAUUGAAGCAAAAAUUCUUGAUGUAGUGCAGAUGAACUCUGUCACUGUUGACUCGAGGCCAAAGUGCUUGGUGAUUGAUGAAAUAGAUGGAGCUCUUGGUGAUGGCAAAGGUGCUGUGGAGGUUAUUCUAAAGAUGGUUUCUGCAGAUAAGAAGUCUGAUAUAGGGAAGGAGAAUUUUCCAAAUGAAGAAAAUCAUGAAAGUACAUAGAAAGUUUAUCAUUCAUAUGGAGUUUCCUUUUCAUGAUUCCCUGGAAAAUGGUACACCUGAACGUCCAUCAAUCGCAUGAUGCUAUAUUCAGACAAUGAGGCCAUGUUAUGUGGUAUGCGUGUGUAUGAAAUGUAGUCAAGAAUGCAAUUAGUUGGUCAACUGCGUAACAUGUGUUUUGGCGUAAUAGACGUUGGCUUUAUGUGUUCUUUUAUUGUCAAAUUCAUCUGUCGUAUUGUUUUGAUAACAUAUCAUUCCGUCUUCAGUUUUUGGUUCA